rnacentral:rRNA from 1 species
GCGUGAGUGAAGAAGGCCUUAGGGUUGUAAAGCUCUUUUGGCAGGGACGAUAAUGACGGUACCUGCAGAAUAAGCCCCGGCAAACUUCGUGCCAGCAGCCGCGGUAAUACGAAGGGGGCUAGCGUUGUUCGGAAUUACUGGGCGUAAAGCGCACGUAGGCGGGUUGUUAAGUCAGGGGUGAAAUCCUGGAGCUCAACUCCAGAACUGCCUUUGAUACUGGCAACCUAGAGACUGGAAGAGGUUAGUGGAAUUCCCAGUGUAGAGGUGAAAUUCGU